AGCAGCAGUGUCUCACCUUCAGGCGUUUGGACUCGGUGGAGGUUGUGAGUGCCCAGCAGUGUGGGCUGAAUCUCCGUGGGGUUUAGGGAGACGAAAGGACCCCAGAUCGACGUCCCCUCGUUCCCACUUUGGGGAUCGGCGCUCUGGCUGGUGAAAGAGAGAGAGGAACUCAGAGUGGUUUUCCAGAUGGGAAUCACAUUGCUCUCUGUCCCUGAGAUCUUGCUGGAGACAGGGCUACUCAGUCCUCUUUGCUGGGUCAUCUGUUCCAGAGGAAACAUGUGUCGUUCUGACUGAGCCCCUGCCUGUCUGUCACCUUAAGAACCAGUCAAUUCAUAUGGUCCACAUAUCAAGGUCUCCUGUGCCCAGAGAGAGAGAGGAUUUCAUUUCAACCAUCACCAUCACCACCAUCAUCAUCAUCACCGGGAGGGGUUGUUGAGUGAGCAUCCGGGGAGGAGAGUAAAAUGAUCAGUUCCAAAGCCCUGGUGGCCAGUCAUCUACAUAAGAAGUCACUGGGCAUAGGCAGUGU
rnacentral:lncRNA from 1 species